GAUGAACGCUAGCGGGAGGCCUAACACAUGCAAGCCGAGCGGUAUUGUUUCUUCGGAAAUGAGAGGGCGGCGACCGGCGCACGGGUGAGUAACACGUAUGCAACCUACCUUUAACAGGGGAAUAACCCGAAGAAAUUCGGACUAAUACCCCAUAACACAGGGGCUCCGCAUGGAGAUAUUUGUUAAAGAUUAAUCGGUUAAAGAUGGGCAUGCGUUCCAUUAGCUAGUUGGUGAGGUAACGGCUCACCAAAGGCUACGAUGGAUAGGGGAACUGGAGGGUUAUCCCCCACACUGGAACUGAGACACGGUCCAGACUCCUACGGGAGGCAGCAGUGAGGAAUAUUGGUCAAUGGAGGCAACUUUGAACCAGCCAAGUCGCGUGAAGGAUGAAGGUCUUAUGGAUUGUAAACUUCUUUUAUACAGGAAUAAAGUGAGUCACGUGUGACUUUUUGCAUGUACUGUAUGAAUAAGGAUCGGCUAACUCCGUGCCAGCCGCCGCCGUAACAC
rnacentral:rRNA from 1 species